AACCGACACAAAGAUAUACAUAUAUACAUACAUAUGUGUGUGUGUAUAUACAUAUAUCUACACAUACAUAUAUAUAUACUCAUAUACAUACAUGCAUAUAUAUAUA
rnacentral:miRNA from 1 species